CAAUUAUUGAAAGGUACAGUCUAACUUUUUCUUCUAUAGAGAAGAUCAUGAAAGCAAACUUCUACGUGAUAUAUGGUGUGUUUUAAAACACAUUUCUUCAGUUAUCAAAAUUUACAUUAAUGACAUUGUGAUUAGAUUUUAAGGUUUUUAUUCUAUAAAUAUUCUACUUUCCAUUUAAAGCAGGAAAAAAAAUCUUCUUGUUAGUCUCCUACAUACAAGGGGACAUUUAGAUGAAUGUUCAACAGCAAAUACAGCAGAAUUUUGUUUUCUAACUUGCGUUAAGCAUGGUUAUAACUCCCAGAGCUUACAUGUAUGUUACUGAUUCUAGGAGCCCUUUAAAAGACCUGAAAGACUGCUUGUGAUGAAAAAGUGGGGGAAAACCUAUCAUAAUGUAUCUUUUAAUAUGCCAGUCACCAUCCUAGCUUUCACUGUCUCUUCAGCUAGCUUGAGGAACUCUCAGCCAGCCCAAAAUUGCAGAGGUAUUAGAAAUAAAAAAUAAAUUAAAAAAAAAAAAAAAGUCAAGCAAGGUAAAUACCCACAUUACCCCUUUCUACUUUCCAUGUUGGCCUGCAGGAUUGCCCAGUGUAGAAGGAGCAAGGAAGAACAAACAAAUGAGCAGUUCAUGAGCCGUCCCAUCAGUGUCUCAAGGUCCUCCUGCGCAUAAAUUGCACCUCUCUACUUGAAUGGUGCAAUUAAAAUCAGCUAAAGAAUCUGAGUACCUGAAUACAUGUCUCUAAACUUCUAAUAACAUGGCAGUACAUUUUCCUGGAGAACUAAUUUGUGAGGUCAGGGGAGCAACAACUCCUAAAGAAGCAAUUCACAAGAAUAACAUUAAAGCAGCUUUGACUGCUGUGAACAUCCCAUUGGAACAGGAGAUGCUAACCAGGGAAUGAUCCCUCAAGGGAAACCAUGUAAUGCUAAAGCAUCUGAAUAAGGAGCAUCAUUUCUAAUACUCCGUGUAAUCAGGACACCAUCCUCCUGAACGGGUAAGUACUUCCAUGCUCUUGGGCAUUUCUCUUUUGCUUCAGGAAUAUUGUCCAAGUACAAUUGUCAGGACAGCUUCCAAGGCAUCUCUAGAGGUAUGAUACAGAAUGUACAACAAAUACAGACGUGACCUUUGCAUUGGUAAAACAUCUUUAGUUAUAAGUUUAUGAUUGCUAUUGUUUCAAAUAACAGUGACUGUCAGUACUACAUAAUAGCUCUUUAUUAUUAUGUCUUGUGAUUCUAGAUGUCCUCCUCCACA
rnacentral:lncRNA from 1 species